rnacentral:tRNA from 2 species
UAUAUUUUGGUGUAUGAUGCACAAAAGUUUUUGAUACUUUUAGAAAUAGUUUAAUUCUGUUAAAUAUAA